UGAGCAAUCUGCCCUUCUCUUUGGAAUAAGCGUUGGAAACGACGUCUAAUGCCGAAUACGACCUCCUUUCGCAUGAUCGGGGGUGGAAAGCUCCGGCGGAGAAGGAUGAGCUCGCGGCCUAUCAGCUAGUUGGUGAGGUAACGGCUCACCAAGGCGACGACGGGUAGCUGGUCUGAGAGGAUGGCCAGCCACAGUUGGGACUGAGACACGGCCCAGACCUCCGUAGGGAGG
rnacentral:rRNA from 1 species